AACGAACGCUGGCGGCGUGGAUAAGACAUGCAAGUCGGACGCUAAUUAGAGGGUAGCAAUAUUCUUUAGUUGGAGUGGCGCAAGGGUGCGUAACACGUGGGUAAUCUGCCGUGAAGCCUGGGAUAACUUGCUGAAAGGCGAGCUAAUACCGGAUGUGACUGUUGGGGGGCAACCUCUGACAUUGGAAGCUGGGGACUGUCAAAGGCCUGGCACUUCACGAUGAGCCCGCGGCCAAUCAGCUAGUUGGAGAGGUAACGGCUCACCAAGACUAAGACGGGUAGCUGGUCUGAGAGGACGACCAGCCACACUGGAACUGAGACACGGUCCAGACACCUACGGGAGGCAGCAGUAGGGAAUCUUCCGCAAUGGACGAAAGUCUGACGGAGCAACGCCGCGUGAGUGAUGAAGGCUUUCGGGUCGUAAAACUCUGUUGUUAGGGAAGAACAAGUGCUAGUUGAAUAAGCUGGCACCUUGACGGUACCUAACCAGAAAGCCACGGCUAACUACGUGUCAGCAGCCGCGGUAAAAC
rnacentral:rRNA from 1 species